rnacentral:rRNA from 1 species
GAUGAACGCUGGCGGCGUGCUUAACACAUGCAAGUCGAACGAUGAAGCCCAGCUUGCUGGGUGGAUUAGUGGCGAACGGGUGAGUAACACGUGAGUAACCUGCCCUUAACUCUGGGAUAAGCCUGGGAAACUGGUCUAAUACCGGAUAGGAGCGUCCACCGCAUGGUGGGUGUUGGAAAGAUUUAUCGGUUUUGGAUGGACUCGCGGCCUAUCAGCUUGUUGGUGAGGUAAUGGCUCACCAAGGCGACGACGGGUAGCCGGCCUGAGAGGGUGACCGGCCACACUGGGACUGAGACACGGCCCAGACUCCUACGGGAGGCAGCAGUGGGGAAUAUUGCACCCUGGGCGAAAGCCUGAUGCAGCGACGCCGCGUGAGGGAUGACGGCCUUCGGGUUGUAAACCUCUUUCAGUAGGGAAGAAGCGAAAGUGACGGUACCUGCAGAAGAAGCACCGGCUAACUACGUG